rnacentral:sRNA from 1 species
CCAAACUUCGUUCCUAAAACUUUAAACAAAGAAAAACUUCACCAACAGUUUGGAAAACUCUCCGAUGUUAGCACUAUAACAGAAGAACCUGGCCACACAAUUGAAAUCUCAGAAGCAGAAAGCUCCCCAAUCAGACCACUACUUGAUAAGCCUUGGAUCAUUAGAACCCUAGACACAGAAUAUGGAGACUUCCAGAAAGAACUACUUAGUGUAAUUUGCCUCAGCGAUGAAGCGAUUUGGUCGUGUGGUAAUAAUGAUAACAUCAUGAGACUCUACAGCCUUCAAGGAAAGCUUUUAGAAUCGGUCAAAACCAAGCCAGGGAACGAGCCACAGGACAUUGCAGUGACAAAGAGUGGUGAUCUAGUUUAUACCGAUUACGUCAAUAGAACUGUAAACAAAAUAAAAAAUAAAAAAAUACAAGAAGUUAUAAAACUUCUUGACUGGAUUCCUCGCUGUGUCUGUAGUACCUUUUUAGAUGACCUCCUGGUGAUAAUGGAUAAUGAAAAUGAUAGUCAAACAAAAAUUGUUCAUUACUCUGGAUCCACAGAGAAACAGAGUAUUGAGUUCGAUGACAAAGGCGAGCCCCUCUAUUCAUCUGGUCCUUUCGUCAAAUACAAACCAGGAUAUCUGCGUUGCGGACUGGGGAGCCCGAGCAGUAGUGGUUGUCGAUCAAGCCGGAAAACGUAGAUUCAGAUACACUGGAAACCCUUCUACGUCCAAACGUGGUAAGCAAUCUACUACUAGGCGAUCAUUUGAACCGUGCGGAAUAGCUACGGAUAGUCAGAGUCUGAUAUUGAUAGCCGACCGUAAAAACCACCAUGUUCACAUCUUGCAUCAGGAUGGACAUUUCCUGCGCUACAUAGACAAUGGUGAUUUACAUUCUCCAAUGGGCUUAUGUUUGGACAGCAGAGAUAAUCUCUUUGUUGCUGAAUGGGGUACUGGUAAAAUAAAGAAAAUCCAGUAUUACAAAUAAACGCCACCCUGGCACGUUGCAAGUGUUACCCUCUUAGCAAAUCCGGAAAAAGACCCAGCAAAAGUUCUACAAUUCCACUAUGUUGUAUAUCAAUUGAUGAUAAUCAUGAAAAUCUAACUUUAAAGGCAAAGGUGUUUAUCAUUUUCCAUAACAUGUCACAUGUUAGAUAAUGUUUUAUCAAAUUAAUUAUUCAUAAUAUUUUUAAAGAUUCUCUUAAUAUUUACAAUAAUAUGUAUUUUUUCAAUGCUUUAAUUGUAUCUAUUUUUUCAAAUUAAAUACUAGAUAAAAUU